GUGAACAUUGUGGCAAUAAAGGGCUCAUAAAUCAGAGUGAAGCAUGAAAAGGAGCUUUUAUCUCACCUGAAGCUAGUUUAACAACCACAUAGUACAUACAUGAUUUAGUUACUCUAAGGCCUCCAUUCCAUGCUAUUUUGCAUUCCAAUGAUUAGGACUGCCACAAUAUAACUGUUCUGCCAGCUCAAUUCCAGAGGCUGGCAAAGUUUUUUUUUUCAAAAAACAAGACUCCUUACAUUGGUUUACUCUUAUCAAGAGCACAGUAAAAAUUCUUUGCAAAGUGUCAGUAGCAACUUUAACCAUAUAUUUGACAUGUAAAAGUAACAAUGUUCUUGUUAAGUUUUAAAAUUAAGGCUAUUUUGAAAGAUAAAUUAUAUUAGCUUAAUCUGCUUCUCAAGGUCAUCCAGAGAUAUGAUUUGAAUGGACAAAAAACACUUGCUCUGUGGUUGUGUAGUCUGUCAUGUCAAAUCUCUCCCCAUGCUAAUGGCCAUUUAACAAGUCUCUUCAGCCUGUUUAACCAGAAGACCUCCAGAUUGAAAACAAAAUAAAUAAAUCUGGUUAAUCUCAGUCUAAUUUACCUGAAUCUGAACAGGUGGAACUGUAAUAUUGCAUGUCUGUGUCUAAUGCACUGUUGUUCAUUGUUUGUUCAGACUCCUAUGAGCUUUUAUAGAGGGAAAAAAGAAAUUACUUGAUUUCCAGAUACAUGGCCCAAAUUACUAGUUUCCCUGUAUUGCAAGAGAUACUAGAAAAAGCAAUGAUUUGUGAUAGUUUCCACAGGAUUCUGCUAUUUCCUUCCCAGUUUGCUUAACUUUUCAAAAAUCUCAGUUGGUCAAGAGAUUCUUCCCUAGUUAAUGACUUUGAAAAUUUUUAUAGCAGUUUAUUUUAUUCUGAUCCUGACUAAAGCAGAUCUCAGGCUUAGGAACUAUUACAGAGACUAAUUUCUUUUCACAACUAUUCAGCAGAUUACUCAAAAUCCAACUGGCUUAAAAAAAUCUUCAAAA
rnacentral:lncRNA from 1 species